UACGUAGGGCGCAAGCGUUGUCCGGAAUUAUUGGGCGUAAAGAGCUCGUAGGCGGCUUGUCACGUCGGUUGUGAAAGCCCGGGGCUUAACCCCGGGUCUGCAGUCGAUACGGGCAGGCUAGAGUGUGGUAGGGGAGAUCGGAAUUCCUGGUGUAGCGGUGAAAUGCGCAGAUAUCAGGAGGAACACCGGUGGCGAAGGCGGCAUCCUGGACCAACACUGACGCUGAGGAGCGAAAGCCAGGGGAGCAAACGGG
rnacentral:rRNA from 1 species